rnacentral:misc_RNA from 1 species
GUGAAUCAUCGAAUCUUUGAACGCAAAUUGCACUCUCUGGUAUUCCGGCGAGUAUGCCUGUUUGAGGGUCAGUUUAAAUCAAAAUCGGUGUGGUUGCUGCCUUUCGUGGUGAAGCACCGGAUUUGAAUCGUCUUGCCUUCGGCUACGAGCCCUCAAAUCUUACAUGAUUUUUUUCGAACGACUGUAAAUGGUUUUACGCACGUU